rfam:Oryza nivara chromosome 9, whole genome shotgun sequence.
GAUUUCAACUGAAGAAGUUAUCAACAACAAAGUUGAACAACUCAUCAAGAUCUAAGACUUUUAUUUUGGUCAUUUCUUUAUCUGAUAAAGUGAUAGUAACAUUGUUCAUAAAAUUUACAUAUCUCUUAUCUGGUUUUUAUAAACUAUAACACAUAUAUGUAAAAUUUAUGAACAAUGUUACUAACAUUUUAUCAGAUGAAGAAAUGACCAAAACAAAAGUUUUAGAUCUUGAUGAGUUAUUCAACUUUGUUGUUGAUAACUUUUUCAGUUGAAAUC